rnacentral:rRNA from 1 species
ACGGGGGGCCUACGGGAGGCAGCAGUAGGGAAUCUUCCACAAUGGGCGAAAGCCUGAUGGAGCAACGCCGCGUGUGUGAUGAAGGGUUUCGGCUCGUAAAACACUGUUGUAAGAGAAGAAUGACAUUGAGAGUAACUGUUCAAUGUGUGACGGUAUCUUACCAGAAAGGAACGGCUAAAUACGUGCCAGCAGCCGCGGUAAU